GGCUCCGGCGGUUGGCCGGCACGCCACUGCGCAUGUGUAUCAACUACGAGGGUGGGUGCUGGGGUUGAGGCUUUCGAUGAACACCACAGGCGCCACACCUGUGGGUGUUCAGAUGGAGCAGCUUCCUAGUCAUCCUGCUAAGAGAAGAGCCAAAGAGGAGGGUAAUACAGUGCCUCUUUGUCGAGCCAAACCCUCCCCCAGCUUUAUUAAUCUUCAAGCAAGUUCCUCACCAGUCACUUUCCUGAAAAUCCUGCCAAUGAAGUUGCCGUCAGGUAUUGACCACAAGCCCAAGGAAUGCCUAGGACUCCUAGAAUGUAUGUAUGCCAAUCGCCAGCUUCAGACCCAGCUUGCCCAACAGAUGGUUAUUUUGGAAAAUUUACAAGCAUCCAUGACACAACUGGCUCCUGGGAAAGAAAGCAAGAACUCUUCUCUCCCAGCCUUAUCUCGCAAUCUAUUGUUAAAUCACCUGCCCCAAUUCAGUAAAUGAAUUGUGAAACAAACAAACAAAAAAAUCUACAUUUCAGAUCUCCAGCUUCCAAAAGUUGAACAGUAAAGACAAGUGGAAAUAACUCAGCCUGACUGUCUUCAGUAUAGUGACCUGCAUGCUGUGGGUGCUUGACGUAAUUUAAAGGAAUUGAAUGCAUGGCCACAAAACUCAUAUCAGCCAUGAUCAAUUCAGAAACAAGGAGGGAGAAAUUGCUAUUUGUAAAUAAAGAGAAACUACAAUUUGUAGUCAUA